GACAGAGGGUGCAAACGUUGCUCGGAAUUACUGGGCGUAAAGCGCGUGUAGGUGGAUUGGUGUGUCAGAUGUGAAAGCCCUGGGCUCAACCCAGGAACUGCACCUGAAAUUACCAGUCUUGAGUGGUGGAGAGGGAAGUGGAAUUCCUGGUGUAGAGGUGAAAUUCGUAGAUAUCAGGAGGAACACCAGUGGCGAAGGCGGCUUCCUGGACACUAACUGACGCUGAGACGCGAAAAGCGUGGGGGAGCAAACAGG
rnacentral:rRNA from 1 species